rnacentral:misc_RNA from 1 species
UAUUGAAUUUGGGUUUCCAUAUUCUUACACCCUGUGCACCUUUUGUAGGCCAUUCAUUUGGUCUAUGUUUUAUUUCUAACAACUUUGUAAAUGUGAAUGGUAAUGAAUAAAAUUAUUACAACUUUCAACAACGGAUCUCUUGGCUCUCGCAUCGAUGAAGAACGCAGCGAAAUGCGAUAAGUAAUGUGAAUUGCAGAAUUCAGUGAAUCAUCAAAUCUUUGAACGCACCUUGCGCUCCUUGGUAUUCCGAGGAGCAUGCCUGUUUGAGUGUCAUUAAAUUCUCAAGGAGUUUGUUCUCUUUGGAUUUUGGAGUGUUUGCUGGCUUGAAUCUUGUUCAGCUCCUCUCAAAUGCAUUAGCUUGCCAGUCAUCGGUGGCAUCACAGGUGUGAUAACUAUCUACGCUUGUGGUCGUCUGCUGGGAAACCUUCUGGCAACAGAGGUUUGCUGGAGCUCAUAAAUGUCUCUCUUCAGUGAAGACAGCUUUUUGAACGUUUG